GGGGAAUAUUGGACAAUGGGGGGAACCCUGAUCCAGCCAUGCCGCGUGUGUGAAGAAGGCCUUAUGGUUGUAAAGCACUUUAAGCGAGGAGGAGGCUCUUUUGGUUAAUACCCAAGAUGAGUGGACGUUACUCGCAGAAUAAGCACCGGCUAACUCUGUGCCAGCAGCCGCGGUAAUACAGAGGGUGCGAGCGUUAAUCGGAUUUACUGGGGUAAAGCGUGCGUAGGCGGCUUUUUAAGUCGGAUGUGAAAUCCCCGAGCUUAACUUGGGAAUUGCAAUCGGAACUGGGAAGGUAGAGGAUGGGAGAGGAUGGGAGAAAUCCAGGUGUAGCCGUGAAAUGCGUAGAGAUCUGGAGGAAUACCGAUGGCGAAGGCAGCCAUCUGGGCUAAUACUGACGCUGAGGUACGAAAGCAUGGGGAGCAAACA
rnacentral:rRNA from 1 species